rnacentral:rRNA from 1 species
UAAGCAUAUCAGUAAGCGGAGGAAAAGAAACUAACGAGGAUUCCCGUAGUAACGGCGAGUGAACUGGGAAGAGUCCAGCGCUGAAUCGCAUCUCCUCUGGGGAUGUGAGGUGUAGCGUACAGACCGUAAGCUUGGGUUGGCCCGCUGGUUCAAGUUUCCCUUGACCGGGGCUCCAGAGAAGGUGCAAGACCUGUCCAACUAGCGGUGCCUACUCAUCUUUGCGUGUCUUGGAGUCGGGUUGUUUGGGAUCGCAGCCCAAAUUAGGUGGUAAACUUCAUCUAAGACUGAAUACGGCCACGAGUCCGAUAGCGAACAAGUACCGUGAGGGAAAGUUGCAAAGCACUUUGAAGAGAGAGUUAAAGAGGACGUGAAACCGAUGAGGUGGAAACGGACAGAGCUGGCGUAUCUGGUCUGCAUUCACCCGUCUGUUGUUGGACGUUGGGCUUCUCCUGCCUCCAGACUGGGGUCGGUUGUCUUUCUGUUCAGCGGCUGAUGGGGCAUUUGCAGGCGGAGUGCGCUGAGAUGCUCGGGGUAGCUGCGUGAACUCGGCUUUGAGGCCAGCCCUUCGGGGUCUGGUACCCGGGUCGGGGGAAUGCUGUUUACUCUGGGUGAGAGUGUGCAAUGGUUUCGGGUCCGUGUUGGUUCGAGCUGAGUGUCGGUGGCGGUCGCAUGCGACACGUACCAGCAAUCAGUUCGGUCCAGCUCGGGCUCUCAUUUGUGCGUUCUCGGUGUAAAAGCCGGUUAUCUGUCCGACCCGUCUUGAAACACGGACCAAGGAGUUUAGCGUAUGCGCGAGUCAUUGGGUGUUGAAAACCCAAAGGCGUAAUGAAAGUGAAGGCAUCCUUGCGGAGCUGAUGUGUGAUCCCUGGCACUGCGGUGUUGGGGCGCAACAUAGUCCCGUCUCGAUCGCAUGCGAUGGGGCGGAGACAGAGCGUAUGCGCUGAGACCCGAAAGAUGGUGAACUAUUCCUGAGCAGGAUGAAGCCAGAGGAAACUCUGGUGGAAGUCCGAAGCGAUUCUGACGUGCAAAUCGAUCGUCUGACUUGGGUAUAGGGGCGAAAAAAC